rnacentral:rRNA from 1 species
GACGAACGCUGGCGGCGUGCUUAACACAUGCAAGUCGAGCGGUAAGGCCCUUUCGGGGGUACACGAGCGGCGAACGGGUGAGUAACACGUGGGUGACCUGCCCUCAGCUCUGGGAUAAGCCUGGGAAACCGGGUCUAAUACUGGAUAUGACUCCAUGACGCAUGUUGUGGGGUGGAAAGCCUUGUGCGGCUGAGGAUGGGCCCGCGGCCUAUCAGCUUGUUGGUGGGGGAUGGCCUACCAAGGCGACGACGGGUAGCCGGCCUGAGAGGGCGACCGGCCACACUGGGACUGAGACACGGCCCAGACUCCUACGGGAGGGCAGCAGUGGGGAAUCUUGCGCAAUGGGCGAAAGCCUGACGCAGCGACGCCGCGUGAGGGAUGACGGCCUGGUGUAACGU